rnacentral:rRNA from 1 species
AGGGCACCACCAGGAGUGGAGCCUGCGGCUUAAUUUGACUCAACACGGGAAAACUCACCCGGCCCGGACACUGUAAGGAUUGACAGACUGAGAGCUCUUUCUUAAUUCAGUGGGUGGUGGUGCAUGGCCGUUCUUAGUUGGUGGAGCGAUUUGUCUGGUUAAUUCCGAUAACGAACGAGACUCUGGCCUAUUAAAUAGACGAGAUAUUACUCUGUAUCUCGCGCUUCUUAGAGGGACAAGCGGCGUCUAGUCGCAUGAAAAAGAGCAAUAACAGGUCUGUGAUGCCCUUAGAUGUCCGGGGCUGCACGCGCGCUACACUGAAAGAAUCAGUGGGCGUUUUACCUGGUUCGGAAGAACCGGGUAACCCAAGUAAUUUCUUUCGUGCUUGGGAUAGGGAAUUGCAAUUAUUUCCCUUAAACGAGGAAUUCCCAGUAAACGCGGGUCAUAAGCUCGUGUUGAUUACGUCCCUGCCCUUUGUACACACCGCCCGUCCCUACUACCGAUUGGAUGACUUAGUGA